UUAAGGUAGAGGUGCGGUGACGAUCAGUAUCAUUUUCGAGAACCUGUUUCAAUGACAAAAUGUGAAAGGCAACAUCGCCGAAGAAUAGAAUUCAUACAGGGUGUUUCUGUUCUGAUUGCAUAUUUAACAGGUAUGUAAUUGUCAUCAUGUUCUGAUGGAGAGCUAUCGG
rnacentral:ncRNA from 1 species